rnacentral:rRNA from 1 species
UACGGAGGGUGCAAGCGUUGUUCGGAAUUACUGGGCGUAAAGGGCGCGUAGGCGGCUACGCACGUCCGUUGUGAAAUCGCUCGGCUCAACUGGGCGGGGUCAGCGGAUACGGUGUAGCUGGAGCAAGCUAGGGGGCAAUGGAAUUCCCGGUGUAGUGGUGGAAUGCGUAGAUAUCGGGAGGAACACCAGUGGCGAAGGCGGUUGCCUGGAGCUUUGCUGACGCUGAGGCGCGAAAGCGUGGGGAGCGAUCCGG